rfam:Streptomyces griseoruber strain DSM 40281 genomic scaffold PRJNA299232_s035, whole genome shotgun sequence.
CUUGAGAGAGCCCAUCCGCAGUGGUUCUUCGCGAUCCUGGCCGUAGGUCGCCAGCAGCGCCUGUGCCUC